rnacentral:tRNA from 1 species
GUGGGUGUAGCUCAGUUGGUAGAGCACCAGUUUGUGGCACUGGUGGUCGCGGGUUCGAUCCCCGUCGCCCACCCCA